rnacentral:misc_RNA from 1 species
GAUGAAGAACGUAGCGAAAUGCGAUAAGUAAUGCGAAUUGCAGAAUUCCAGUGAGUCAUCGAAUCUUUGAACGCACAUUGCGCCCUUUGGUAUUCCGAAGGGCAUGCCUGUUCGAGCGUCAUUAUCACCCCUCAAGCCCUCGGCUUGGUGUUGGACGGUUUGGUGGAGGCCCCCUCGGGGGCUCCUGCCCCUCCCAAAGACAAUGACGGCGGCCUCGUUGGACCCCCGGUACACUAAGUUCUUCACGGGACACGUAUCGGACACAUGGGUUUACGGGACACGGUCUGCCUCCCCUCAGGGAGAAUCUUUCUAAGGUUGACCUCGGAUCAGGUAGGGAUACCCGCUGAACUUAAGCAUAUCAAUAAGCGGAGGA